AUUGAACGCUGGCGGCAUGCUUUACACAUGCAAGUCGAACGGCAGCGCGGGCUUCGGCCUGGCGGCGAGUGGCGAACGGGUGAGUAAUGCAUCGGAACGUGCCCAGUAGUGGGGGAUAGCCCGGCGAAAGCCGGAUUAAUACCGCAUACGACCUGAGGGUGAAAGCGGGGGACCGAAAGGCCUCGCGCUAUUGGAGCGGCCGAUGUCGGAUUAGCUAGUUGGUGGGGUAAAGGCUUACCAAGGCGACGAUCCGUAGCUGGUCUGAGAGGACGACCAGCCACACUGGGACUGAGACACGGCCCAGACUCCUACGGGAGGCAGCAGUGGGGAAUUUUGGACAAUGGGGGCAACCCUGAUCCAGCCAUGCCGCGUGCGGGAAGAAGGCCUUCGGGUUGUAAACCGCUUUUGUUCGGAAGAAAUCCUCUGGGCUAAUACCCCGGGGGGAUGACGGUACCGGAAGAAUAAGCACCGGCUAACUACGUG
rnacentral:rRNA from 1 species